rnacentral:tRNA from 1 species
AAUUAAUGAGCUUGUAUAGCAAUUGUUUUGAAAACAAUAUAAAGAAGCAAAAUCUUCUAUUAAUUU